CAAUGAAUUGACCGAAAAGGAUAAAGAUCAAGUGUCCAUUUCAAAACACUGAGUUUACGAAAGCAGCAUACUAAAAAUUAAGUGAAAAUGC
ensembl:misc_RNA predicted gene, 27465